AUGCAAUUUGUGCUUUGGGUGCAGGGGAGGCUGCUGAUGGGGGCUAACCUGGCUAUCGAGGGACAUGCUAGCAAGAUAUGCACAAGGGCAAUGUUUGGGCAUAUAUUUUAUGAGUGUGGCGCAUACCAGGUUUUAUAUGAGAAGAAGAACAGAUCAUAUCUUGCAAUACAUACGGAGGUCGAGCGCAAGGAGAAGUGGUGCAGAGUAUCAUACAAGGUCACAAUGAUGGAGGGUGGGGAUGACUUUGACUGUGAGUGUGGGCAGUUCGCCCACAUGGGUAUACUACACACCCAUGUUCUUGAGAAAAUGCGGGUACUAGACUUUAUCCAUGUGAAGCAGAUCCCCGAGACACACAUACUAGCAUAG
rnacentral:rRNA from 1 species